rnacentral:rRNA from 1 species
UACGUAGGGUGCUAGCGUUGUUCGGAAUCAUUGGGCGUAAAGCGCGUGUAGGCUGUCAAUUAAGUCGGGUGUGAAAUCCCUGGGCUCAACCGAGGAAGUGCAUCCGAAACUAAUUGGCUAGAAGAUGGCAGAGGAAGGUGGAAUUCCUAGUGUAGAGGUGAAAUUCGUAGAUAUUAGGAGGAAUACCGGGUGGCGAAGGCGGCCUCUGGACCAUUCUUGACGCUGAGACGCGAAAGCGUGGGGAGCAAACAGG